rnacentral:rRNA from 1 species
GAUGAACGCUGGCGGCGUGCUUAACACAUGCAAGUCGAACGGUGAAGGCGGAGCUUGCUCUGCUGGAUCAGUGGCGAACGGGUGAGUAACACGUGAGCAAUCUGCCCCUGACUCUGGGAUAAGCGCUGGAAACGGCGUCUAAUACUGGAUACGAGCUGCGAAGGCAUCUUCAGCAGCUGGAAAGAAUUUCGGUCAGGGAUGAGCUCGCGGCCUAUCAGCUUGUUGGUGAGGUAAUGGCUCACCAAGGCGUCGACGGGUAGCCGGCCUGAGAGGGUGACCGGCCACAGGGGGAUGAGAACCGGGCCAGACCCCCAGGGGGGGGAAGCGGUGGGAAAAUUGACAAAAGGGGGAAAGGCCUGGAGCAGCAACCCCGGGGGGGGGACGACGGCCUUGGGGUUGAAAACCUUUUUGGGCAGGAAAGAGGGGAAGGGACGGGUACCGGAAAAAAAGGCCCGGGUAAAUUAGGG